AAAUAAAAAAAUAAAAAAAAUCAAAUCUCUCUUUUCGACAUCUUAUCUGCAUGUAAAUUAUUAUACAACUCUAUUAUGUAUCAAUAGCUUAUUCUUUAGAUUUAUAUCAAACGUGUGUAUAACAUAAUCACCAUCAAUUAGUAAACCGCUGAGAGAUGAUAUAAUUGCAUUAACCAAUUAAAUCUGGAACCAAAAUUGCCUUGUCCCAUUUGCAAAGCAAAGGAAGUUACACUCAAACAAGUUACGGCUGCUACUAAAGCCCAAAUGGAAUCACUCAGAAUGCUGUUUCUGCUUCUUUUCUUUAGGCCUGUUCGCCUCGUCUUUC
rnacentral:lncRNA from 1 species